AGUUCCCUCACCAGUGUGGAGAUGAUUUUUGGGGUGGGACACCAGACAGGGUCCCCUGGUGGACAUGGACCACACCUGCUGGGUGUGAAGAUGGGAUGAGAUCUUCAUCUUUUGGGAUGAGAUCCUCAUCCGGUGUCCUCUGGUGGGCGUGGACCACACCUGGUGGGUGUGGAGAUGAUUUUUGGGAUGAGAUCCUCAUCUGGUGUCCUCUCUCCAGUGUGGAGAGGGUUUUCUGGUGUCUCCUGGUGGACGUGGAGAUGAUUUUUGGGAUGAGAUCCCAGGAUUUUUGGGAUGAGAUCCUCAUCCAGUGUCCCCUGGUGGACAUGGAGGGGAUUUUUGGGAUGAGAUCCUCAUCUGGUGUCCUCUGGUGGGUGUGGAGAUGAUUUUUGGGAUGAGAUCUUCAUCUGGAGUUCCCUCACCGGUGUGGAGAUGAUUUUCUGGUGUCUCCUGGUGGGCGUGGAGAUGAUUUUUGGGAUGAGAUCCCAGGAUUUUUGGGGUGAGAUCCUCAUCUGGUGUCCCCUGGUGGGCAUGGAGAUGAUUUUUGGGGUGAGAUCUUUAUCCAGUAUCCCCUAAUGGGUGUGGAGAGGAUUUUCUGGUGUCCCCUGGUGGGCAUGGAGGAGAUUUUUGGGGUGAGAUCCUUAUCCAGUGUCCCCUGGUGGGCGUGGAGAUGAUUUUUGGGAUGAGAUCCCAGGAUUUUUGGGAUGAGAUCCUCAUCCGCUGUCCCCUCACCGCUCUGGAGAUGUUUUUUGGGGUGGGACACCAGACGGGGUCCCCUGAUGGACAUGGACCACACCUGCUGGGUGUGGAGGGGAUUUUUGGGGUCCCCCGGCCACGCCCACGUCCGUCUGUCCCCGCAGUUACUGCGAUUAUUACCGGCCGCGCUUCUUCCUGCUGGAGAACGUCCGGAACUUCGUGUCCUUCAAGAGGUCCAUGGUGCUGAAGCUGACCCUGCGCUGCCUGGUGCGCAUGGGCUACCAGUGCACCUUCGGGGUGCUCCAGGCCGGGCAGUACGG
rnacentral:lncRNA from 1 species